GCCUAGCCGUAAACAAUUAAUUUACACCAAUCAGCGCCAGGGAAUUACGAGCCAUGCUUAAAACCCAAAGGACUUGACGGUGUCCCACCCCCCUAGAGGAGCCUGUUCUAUAAUCGAUAAUCCCCGCUAUACCCUACCAUUCCUCGCCUCAGUCUGUAUACCUCCGUCGAAAGCCUACCCUGUGAACGUCCAGUAAGCCCAAUGACCCCCCUCAACACGUCAGGUCAAGGUGCAGCUCACGGAAUGGAAAGUAAUGGGCUACAAUUUCUAACAUAGAACAAACGAAAGGCCAUGUGAAACCAUAGUCACGAAGGUGGAUCUAGCAGUAAAAAGAAAAUAGAGUGUUCUUUUUAACCCGGCUCUGGGACGCGUACACACCGCC
rnacentral:rRNA from 1 species